UACGUAGGGCGCAAGCGUUUAUCCGGAAUUAUUGGGCGUAAAGAGCUCGUAGGCGGUUUGUCGCGUCUGCCGUGAAAGUCCGGGGCUCAACUCCGGAUCUGCGGUGGGUACGGGCAGACUAGAGUGAUGUAGGGGAGACUGGAAUUCCUGGUGUAGCGGUGAAAUGCGCAGAUAUCAGGAGGAACACCGGAUGGCGAAGGCAGGUCUCUGGGCAUUAACUGACGCUGAGGAGCGAAAGCAUGGGGAGCGAACAGG
rnacentral:rRNA from 1 species